GGUAAUUCCAGCUCCAAUAGUGUAUAUUAAAGUUGUUGUGGUUAAAAAGCUCGUAGUUGGAUCUCGGCAGGCAGGGGGCGGUCCGUUAUUUGACGCGACUGCCCCGUUUGCCUGUGUUUCUUUGGCGGAACUCGCAGGGUGCUCUUCGCCGAGUGUCCUGUCGGGGCCGCCGGGUUUACUUUGAAAAAAUUAGAGUGCUCCAAGCAGGCUCGACACGCCUGAAUAUCCGUGCAUGGAAUAAUGGAAUAGGACGUCGUUCCUAUUUUGUUGGCUUUAGGGAAUCGACGUAAUGAUUAAUAGGGACAGCCGGGGGCAUUAGUAUUCAGACGACAGAGGUGAAAUUCUUGGACCGUCUGGCGACUCACCGCUGCGAAAGCGUUUGCCAAGUAUGUUUUCAUUAAUCAAGAACGAAAGUUAGAGGUUCGAAGGCGAUCAGAUACCGCCCUAGUUCUAACCAUAAACGAUGCCAGCUAGCGAUCUGCGGGCGUUUUUAUUGUAGGCCCCGCAGGAAGCUUCCGGGAAACCAAAGCUUUUGGGUUCCAGGGAAAGUAUGAUUGCAAAAUUGAAAUUUAAAGAAAUUGACGGAACGGCACCACCAGGCGUGGAACUUGCGGCUUAAUUUGACUCAACACUGGAAAUCUCACCAGGCCCGGACACCGGAAGGAUUGACAGAUUGAGAGCUCUUUCUCGAUUCGGUGGGUGGUGGUGCAUG
rnacentral:rRNA from 1 species